rnacentral:siRNA from 1 species
AUGCACACCGGUACCGACACCAGC